AAAACGGAUGACGUCAUCAACCGGAGCCUAUUUAAGGUGCGACUAAUUGCCGGAGCGUUCUCUCUCCACUUGGCUGCCAGACUCCGGUCGGUCGACACCGUCCGAUUGCUGCUCUCCACGCAUUUUGACGAAGCAUUUUUAAGAAAAACUCAGCUUGGCAGAAGGUCAUCGAGGAGGUGUCCAGUUCUUGUCACAAGUGAGGAAAAAAAAAAAACACUCACACGCAUUUAAAUUCAACUUUUUUUUUUUUUUUCUCCCCCCCAACACACACCUCACGGUUGAGGCUUUCACCAAGGUCGGGCCUCUGUUGCAGUUUUCCUCUGACGGGCUUUUUGAGUGCGCAAUCACCGCAGCUGGUUGAACAAGAUGGUGGCGUUCGAGGAAGGCCUUUUGGUUGGACACUGCAAAACAAUGGCUGACCAACGCUUUGAAUUUUUUUUUGUCUUGCACCCCCCCAAAAAAUUAAAAUAAAAACUUGAACCCCUCUAAAUAGGGUACUGAACCUUCCACAAGUUCACGUUGGUUUCUUCUCUUGUCCACCAUGUAGCGCCACAGCAUCACAAAUCCUGGGAACCUGUCCAGCAACGACUUUUUCAAGGCUGAUCCAAAAUGGUGGGGAAAAGGCAUUAAAUUCCGAGGGCGGCUUCCAGUCCAAUUGACGUGGUGGACAAUCCUGCCCCCCGCCCCCACACCCAAAAAAUUCAACCACAGUAUGUACUCAACGAGAUAGUUAACCUUCCUUCCACAAGCUCACGUUGGUCUCCCUUAUGCUCUUGUCCGCUAGGUGGCGCCAAAGCAGCACAUGUCCUGUGAUCUUGUCGAGCAACGACUCUUUUUCGUCAAUGCUGAUCAUCACUGGUUUGGAACAAUUUUAGCAAUUUAUUCUUGACAAAUACUUGGACUAGUGCUUGGCUUUUUUUCCCUUUGCAGAUGGGGGGAAAAUAAGCUGUGAAAUUGCGACGUCAGCUGCAAACGAGCACUCACCUGUUUCCAAUUUUCUUUUGACUUUGUGUGCAAGGUGGCUUCCGGUCCAAUCGGCAUGGUGGUGGACAACCUUGACUGAAGAAAAUGGAACUGCUGGGGGGCAAAAGAGGUCAAGUUUUCAAAUUGACAGUGUCCAUGUUCCUCAAGGUGAAGAAAAACUUUGGUGCUAAACCACAUGAUCAUCUUCCAGCCAUCCACUCUGCCAACUUGCUGACCGCCUACCUCACUCUGGGUUUCCAUCUUGCGCCAUUUGCUGCACAACAAGGUGCUGAAAAAGGCAAUCAUCUUCCAGCCGUCCACUCUGCCAACUUGCUGACGUCUACUUCCUCUCCCUCACUGUGUUACCAUUUGCUGCACAACAAGGAGAGCUAACUAAUGGUCUUGCAGGCGUCCAGGCUGUCCUCUUCGGCUGACCACUUCUCAGACUCAUCGGUCCUCCUGCUUGUUACUUAAAUGUUUGCCACUUGAACUCUGCAAAAUGAAAUAAAGCUUGUUACAAAUGCAA